GAUGAACGCUGGCUACAGGCUUAACACAUGCAAGUCGAGGGGAAACGCCGGGGAAGCUUGCUUCCCCGGGCGUCGACCGGCGCACGGGUGAGUAACGCGUAUCCAACCUGCCUCUGACUGAGGGAUAACCCGUCGAAAGUCGGCCUAAUACCUCAUGGUAUCGUCUGCGGGCAUCCAACGACGAUUAAAGAUUUCAUCGGUCAGGGAUGGGGAUGCGUCUGAUUAGCUUGUUGGCGGGGUAACGGCCCACCAAGGCUACGAUCAGUAGGGGUUCUGAGAGGAAGGUCCCCCACAUUGGAACUGAGACACGGUCCAAACUCCUACGGGAGGCAGCAGUGAGGAAUAUUGGGCAAUGGGCGAGAGCCUGAACCAGCCAAGUAGCGUGCAGGAAGACGGCCCUAUGGGUUGUAAACUGCUUUUAGGCGGGGAUAAAGUGAGGGACGUGUCCCUCAUUGCAGGUACCGCAUGAAUAAGGACCGGCUAAUUCCGUG
rnacentral:rRNA from 1 species